rnacentral:rRNA from 1 species
AGAGUUUGAUCAUGGCUCAGAACGAACGCUGGCGGCGUGGAUAAGACAUGCAAGUCGAGCGAGAUUUUUUUCUGUAGCAAUACAGGGAAAAGUCUAGCGGCGAACGGGUGCGUAACACGUGGGCAACCUGCCAAGAAGUGGGGGGAUAGCUCGCCGAAAGGCGAAUUAAUACCGCAUGUGAUCAGAGUGGACAUCCAUUCAAAAUCAAAGUCGGGGCAACCUGACGCUUCUUGAGGGGCCCGCGGCCUAUCAGCUAGUUGGUGGGGUAACGGCCCACCAAGGCUUAGACGGGUAGCUGGUCUGAGAGGACGACCAGCCACACUGGGACUGAGACACGGCCCAGACACCUACGGGUGGCAGCAGUCGAGAAUUUUUCUCAAUGGGGGAAACCCUGAAGGAGCGACGCCGCGUGGAGGAUGAAGGUCUUCGGGUUGUAAACUCCUGUCAUUUGGGAACAAUGCGCAAAUAUUAACUGUAUUUGCGUUGAUAGUACCAGAAGAGGAAGGGACGGCUAACUCUGUGCCAGCAGCCGCGGUAAUACAGAGGUCCCAAGCGUUGUUCGGAUUCAUUGGGCGUAAAGGGUGCGUAGGCGGCGCGGUAAGUCGGGUGUGAAAUCUCGGGGCUUAACUCCGAAACUGCAUUCGAUACUGCCGUGCUUGAGGACUGGAGAGGAGACUGGAAUUUACGGUGUAGCGGUGAAAUGCGUAGAUAUCGUAAGGAAGACCAGUGGCGAAGGCGGGUCUCUGGACAGUUCCUGACGCUGAGGCACGAAGGCCAGGGGAGCAAACGGGAUUAGAUACCCUAGUAGUCC